rnacentral:rRNA from 1 species
UACGUAGGGGGCAAGCGUUGUCCGGAUUUAUUGGGCGUAAAGAGCGUGUAGGCGGCCUGGUAGGUCAGCUGUGAAAACUCGAGGCUCAACCUCGAGACGCCGGUUGAAACCAUCAGGCUAGAGUCCGGAAGAGGAGAGUGGAAUUCCUGGUGUAGCGGUGAAAUGCGCAUAUCAGGAAGAACACCCGUGGCGAAAGCGGCUCUCUGGAACGGUACUGACGCUGAGACGCGAAAGCGUGGGGAGCGAACAGG